GCUUGCUUUGGCAGACAUACACUAAAAUUGGAAUGAUGCAAAAAAGAUUAGCAUGGCCCCUGCUCAGGAUGAUAUACAAAUUUGUGAGGCAUUCCAUAUUUAA